rnacentral:lncRNA from 1 species
UAUAUACUCAUGUAUUGAAUAAGACAAAGAUUAGCAAAGAAUUAUAUAAUAAAAUAUAUAUAUAAUUGUAUAUAUUUUUUAUACUAUUACUUAGCCUAUAUGGGCCCCUGCCUCCUUCAAAAAAAAAAAAAAAAAAAAAAUAUAUAUAUAUAUAUAUAUAAUUAAUCAGCCGAUUAAGUGAUAACUUGAUUAAGCGAUCAUUAUUAUACAAACAAGUGUAUAUACCUCUAGUGUCAGACAUAGUUUCCUAAAACAAUUUUAUAUGCACGUAUGUACACUUACGUAUGUAUAUUGUUAAUCGUUUUAUGCAUCUGAUUUAUUAAAAAAAGUAAACAUGAGUUUGUCAGACUUAAAUUUUUACAUAAAUAAGCAUAAAAAAGCUUAUGAAGCGAGGCAGAAAGAGCAGCUAAGUCAGAAAGGAACCCGAGAUAUUGAAAUUGAAGGCAAAAAGGAGGAAACAAAUGGAGGAGCAAAAUCGGUAAAUGAUGUAAUAGUGGCAAAAGUGACAAAUGAUGUAAUAGUGGCAAAAGUGGCAAAUGAUGUAAUAGUGGCAAAAGUGGCAAAUGAUGUAAUAGUGGCAAAAGUGGCAAAUGAAGCAAAAGCGACAAAUGAAGCAAGCAAAGUGUUAUACAAUAAUGUAGAUCAAGAAACAAGGGAUAAUAAACAAAAUGAAGAUGUUACAACAAAGGAGAACAUAAAUCAAGUUGAUGCUGAUUACUUAUAUGCCCUCAAGUUAUACGAAGCACUCAACCAUACACCUACACCGUACGAUUUACACGAUAAAAACAUUUUAAAUGAUGAGAAAAUUACAUCUUAUAAUGAGACCCCAAAUAUAAUUAAAGAUGAACAAGAUAUAAAUGAUUAUGUUAGACAACCUGAUAACACAUAUGUUGAAUGUCUAUUAAAUGACACAUCAAAUUAUCCUUAUUACUUAUCAGACAAUUCAAGGUAUAAUACUACUCCUACUGCUACUCCUAAUGCUACUCCUACUGCUAUUCCUACUGCUAUUCCUACUGCUAUUCCUACUGCUACUACUACUGCUACUACUACUGCUACUACUACUCCUACCAAUAAAAGAAGACAAGAUGCACUUGGAAGUAACAACUUUGAUUUAUCUAACAACAGUUAUAUUAUGAGUGAUAUAAAUAGAACCCGUAAUGAAAAUCCUAAUAAGACUAGGCACAUUUCAACCAUCAGUAUUAAUAGUAGUGAUAAUGAUAGUGGUAAUCGUAAAACUAAUCAUAAAAGUAUAAACACUCGUAAUAACAUGAACACUCGUAAUAAUAUGAACACUCGUAAUAAUAAUAACAAACAAAUGAAAAUAACAUCCAACAAGUCGAAAACAAAUGUCAAUUAUAAUAAUAAUAUUUUAAGUACUAAUAUGAAUUUAACGAGUGAUCAUUUUGAUCUUUUUAAAAAUAAUGAAUGUGAAGAAGUGCCUUCAGACGCGUCGGGUCAUGUCCACGCAGGUGUCGAUACGGAUGUUCAAACAUAUGUAUAUGCGAAUGUCGAAAUGGAUAAUGACAAGCGCAAAUCAACAACUAUAUCACAAAAUAAACAAAAUUCUAAAGAUUACAAAAACAAGGAUAUAAAUUAUUUAUCAAAACAUAAUAUUUAUACAGAUGGUAAUACACUUGUAAGUCCGAAAAUGUACACCAGAAAGAACACUGGAAAUAUUACGACUAACACUACAACUAACACUAUAACCAACAAUACGAUUAACACUAGGACCAACAAUACGACUAACACUAGGACCAACAAUACGANNNNNNNNNNUACGACUAACACUAGGACCAACAAUACGACUAACACUAGGACCAACACUACGAAUGAUAUUAAGAGAAAUACCACAAACAUAAAUGUUAAAAGAAGCAGUGACAUAGAUUCCUGCAAGAACAAAAGUAGACAUAUUAUUAGUAACAUUCCUUGUGUGUUUAUAGAUGAUCUUGACCGUAAUAAUAAAAAAAAAAAUAUAAAAAAAAGCGUUGAGACUUUAAAUACUAAUAGCAUUAAUUGUCAUAAUAAUAUUCAGGACACAGAUUGCAAUGAUAAAACCGAUAAACAGAUCGGAGGUAAUUAUACCAACAUAUAUAAAAACGGCCAAACUAGUAAUAAUAGUUAUAAAAAGAGACUUACAUGUGAAAACAAAAAACAACCUGAAUUUACUUAUAAUACACGAAGCUCUAAUAAUAAAAAUAAUCACAAUAAUGCUACUGUUAUAAAUCAUUUGAAUAAAAAUAUAAAAAACACACAUGAUAUAUACAAUAUGAAUAGAAAAGAAUACAAACCACAUGAUAAAAAAAGAAGUAAACAAAAUAAUAUUUCUGUUAUUAAUAACAGCAGUAGUAGUAGUAGUAGUAGUAAUACUAUUCCCCUCACUCCAAAUAAAAAUUUUAUAUUUCGAACCAAAAAUAAUAUUAAUACAUACGAUACAUAUGACCUAACGUCAUCAUCUUCCAUAUAUAAAAUCAAUACAAAUAGAAAUAAAGACACGUGUUAAAAUUUAAAUAAAGUUAAUCAUACUAGUUUUAAUAACA